rnacentral:lncRNA from 1 species
ACAACCAAGCUAAAAGAUGAUCCCGCCUUUAGCUUAUGCGACAAUACUAGAGAAUGUAUAACUUUUUUUUUUUGAACGACCAACAGAAUCAAUAUCGAGCACACUUGGGGUACCCACUAAACCAAACGGAGUACUCCGAGAGUAACCCGAGUCCAUCACCAAUUCCGGGAAAACCCCGGUAACCCACCCGCCUGUAUGCACGACGAUGAAAUUACCGGGAAAACCCGUUUGGCUCAAGGAUCAAAUCUAGGCUUCACUAGAUCUUCUAUUAUUGCACACCAAUGACUCACCCUGCACCAAAUGGGAGUUAAACUUGCAUCUCACAAGAAAAAUGCAAGUCUUCUACCACUUGAUCUAGAGAUCAUUGGCUACUAGACAAUGUAUAAUGGUACGCUACUCCAACCUAAUUACUACUCCACGAUACAAAUGAGGCUAGAACCCAAGACCAUAAGGUGAGGGGCAGCCUUUAUCACUAGGCCACUGCCAAUGGUUGUAUACAUUGAUAUAGUUAUAUUGGGAAUACAUAAUGCUAAUAGAAUUAGAAUUAUACAUCAUUAGUUACCAUAUUUAGGGUAUUAGUGUGUAAGGGGUGGAUGCUUAAUCCUUUUAGGUAAAGUUUUCAUCCACCUAAUCAUGUUGUGUCAUGUAAUUUGCCUCUCAUUAUUAAUAUAUUAACUACAAAUUAUAUAAAUAACAUGCUUUGCUAGUUUAGGUUUGCAAGCCUACACGAGCUUGAUAAGUGAAGCUCUGGCUCACGCUUACUAAAUGAGCUAUUUUUGGGUUUGAGCAUAUGUAAACUUUGUACGAUUCAUAUUUUUAUCGAGCUGAGAUUGAGUAGCUCACGAGUGAUUUGACUCGUUUACACCCUUACUCAAACUUCUAUUGUUGAUUUCUUUUGCAUAUAGUUUUAACUAUUUUUAAAUUCAUAUAAUUUUAAUAAACUUCAUUAUUUUUUAUUAAAAGUUAUAUCAUAUCAUUUGGAAUUUUAUCUUCGUGGAUUUGAGUAUAUUAUUAAUUCACUUUUUUUUUAAUUCACUGCACCAUGAUUAUAACGUUGUGCGUAAACUAAUUGUAACAGUGCAUCUGAACUAGCUAAAAUGGUCUGUAAAAAUCAAUUAUAACGAUGUAUCUAAUACUAGAAUAGUAAGUUAAAAAAAAAAACAUAUAAUAUAAUAUCAAAGAAGCAAAGGAGUAUGUAUUUGUGGUUAUAACUUGUUUAACGUAAACUAAAGAAUUUUCGCAUCUCAUAUAGUGCUUCUAAAGACUUUCCCGAUUAACAUCCCGCAUCAACACACGGGGCGCGUCAACUCGUUUUCUACAAAAACUAACCUCUAUAUAUACAUAAUCAUAGCAUGCGAUUUAUAGUUAUUUUAAAGAUGCUUGCUAACCUCGCUAACCCUAUAGGUUUUUAGCUAGUCGCUCAUCUUUGAAUCAAGGGGGUAAGUCAUAUGCCUCCAGCUUCGAUUUAUCGUUACGAGUGACUAAUGUUGGUAUUUAGACUCAUUACGUAAAAAUAAACAGAUUUGAUAAUUUUUGAAGAGCCAUGUGUAAUAGCUGUACAUGUAAAAGCAAAUCGACAAUAGUUGCGUGAUGAUCUUUCUUUCUCUCUUUUUGCCUGGCGUGUGCGAAUGUAUCAUGUAGAUAUUGUUUGAUUUGUGUACUUGAAAGCUACAACCAAAUUCUAUCUUCAUCAUUGCGGUCUGUACACACCAUCAAAAUUUAAUAAAACUUAUAAAAUGUAAAAUACUCAGAAAAUUAGAAAAUACUUUCAAAUUAAAAAAAUUGUAUAUAUAUCAGAUUUUAAAAUAUAUAAUUUAAGAAGGAACAACUAACAUUCGCAUUUAAUUCUUCACCUCAUAUUUAUAAGGGCACUCGAGGCACCGGUGCGAUAGUGUGACCACUGUGAUCACACUGUCGCAAAUGGUGUGAUCGUGAUAGAUUUUACGUUCACCGUGAUAAUGGUCACGGUCAAUGUGUGGGUGUGGAGCCGUUGAACAACGGUCAUAUGACCGUUACACAUUAAAAAAAUCAUGCUAAUCUAAGUGAACAUAAUAGAUUUCAUUUACAAGAGGAAACAUUAUCAAAUUAGCCGUUUCCCACCCAAUAGUUUCCAACCCAAUAUCUACAAUACUUCACCCAACCCGAUAUGCCAACUCAAAUCUCAACCGGUUAUUUCACUUUAUCUCCCAACCUGUAGGACGAACAAACUAUCAACUGUUUCACAUAUCGUGAACCUACCCCGCAAUACCAAAAUCUACCAUUUCGUAACUCGGCUCGUGAUUUACCUCCUGACUCAUAUGACCAAGAAGAACAACAAGAACAAGAAGAGCCCCAAGAAUUGGAUGAUGAAAAAGAACAAGAUCAAGAAGUAGAAGUGCAAAUUACUCAUGGAAAAAGGAAAAAAAAAAAAAAAACCCAUUAAACACGGGGGCAUCAAAGUUGGAUGCAAAAUGAGGAGGUAGCCUUGUGUAAGUCUUUCUUACCUAUUUCCGAAUACCAAAAGGUCAGAAAUCAACAAACAAAAGACACUUUGGAAACGAGUUAUCUCACAUUUUAGAAAACUACUUGGUGGAUCUAGCCGAAACACGGAUCAACUCACUUCAAAUUUAACAGCCUUAAACAAAAUGUGAGUCAAGUCAAUGCAUGCUACAUAUAAAAGUUUCGCAAUUGAUCAAGUGGAUUGA